rnacentral:rRNA from 1 species
GACAGAGGGUGCAAGCGUUAAUCGGAAUUAUUGGGCGUAAAGCGCACGUAGGUGGAUUGGUAAGUUGGAUGUGAAAUCCCUGGGCUCAACCUGGGAAUUGCAUACAAUACUGCUAGUCUAGAGUACAGUAGAGGGAAGUGGAAUUUCCGGUGUAGCAGUGAAAUGCGUAGAUAUCGGAAGGAACAUCAGUGGCGAAGGCGACUUCCUGGGCUGAUACUGACACUGAGGUGCGAAAGCGUGGGGAGCAAACAGG